UACAGAGGGUGCGAGCGUUGUUCGGAAUUAUUGGGCGUAAAGGGCGCGUAGGCGGUGCGGUAAGUCACCUGUGAAAUCUCCUGGCUCAACUGGGAGCUUGCAGGCGAAACUGCCGUGCUGGAGUGUGGGAGAGGUGAGUGGAAUUCCCAGUGUAGAGGUGAAAUUCGUAGAUAUUGGGAAGAACACCGGUGGCGAAGGCGGCUAUCUGGACCACAACUGACGCUGAGGCGCGAAAGCGUGGGGAGCAAACAGG
rnacentral:rRNA from 1 species